rnacentral:rRNA from 1 species
AUUGAACGCUGGCGGCAGGCCUAACACAUGCAAGUCGAGCGGAGGAAGGGAGCUUGCUCCUGGAUUCAGCGGCGGACGGGUGAGUAAUGCCUAAGAAUCUGCCUGGUAGGGGGGGAUAACGUCCGGAAAGGGGCGCUAAUACCUCAUACGUCCUGAGGGAGAAGGUGGGGGAGCUUCGGACCUCACGCUAUCAGAUGAGCCUAGGUCGGAUUAGCUAGUUGGUGGGGUAAAGGCCUACCAAGGCGACGAUCCGUAACUGGUCUGAGAGGAUGAUCAGUCACACUGGAACUGAGACACGGUCCAGACUCCUACGGGAGGCAGCAGUGGGGAAUAUUGGACAAUGGGCGAAAGCCUGAUCCAGCCAUGCCGCGUGUGUGAAGAAGGUCUUCGGAUUGUAAAGCACUUUAAGUUGGGAGGAAGGGCAGUAAGUUAAUACCUUGCUGUUUUGACGUUACCAACAGAAUAAGCACCGGCUAACUUCGUG